UCCGAUAUGGUGUAGUGGCCAACAUGAUGCCCUCUCAUUCUUGUGAGAGGUUAGGCAUAGCCCCGAGUUCGAUUCUCGGUUUCGGAA
rnacentral:tRNA from 1 species